AAACAAAAUCUGAACCCUAGUUUCAAAUGGUCAUCUCUCUCCCCCUCUUGUAUUCUCUCUCUUCCCUCUCUCCCGAUACAGAGAUGCCUCCUUCCUCGCAUCCCAGUCGGCCCAGGCCAUCGACACGCACGGCACCAGCAGCCUCGCAAGCCCCCGAAACCCCCAAUCCCCGAGCCUCGCUAACGUACGCGCCGUCUAUCCCAAUCAACGGGCCGCCCGAAGUCACUACCACCCUGACGUUUUUGAGCAAAAUCCGGCCACUUCAAGCCUCUAUGAGCUGAGCCAACACCACCACUGUACUCAUUAGACCAUGGGAAGAAAAACCCACUUGAGGAUCGGGCCAAAAACCACCGUGGGUGUUAGCCGAAAUCCAUGGAAUUUCGAACGGUUUUGGCUUAGUUCCGGCCAUCCCGAGCCGACGUGGGUCACACUGCCACCUUCUUUAGUCUCCUCGUGGUCAGGGCUUUCAAGCCCAACCAAUUUCGUUACCCAACCGCCACUUCGUCAUUGUUGUCAGAGCUCCAGUGUGGGCUUCGGCUAGCAACGACAUGAGGUUACAAGAGGCUCGUCUUGAGCUCCCAACCGCUAUAAAAAAUGUUUAUUCUGUGUUCGUUGUUUCCUUUCAUCAUCUACUCAAAUUUACUCUUUGAACUUGGAGAUAGAGGAGAAAAUCAACAGUAAGAAUCUUAUUAAUUGCUUUUUUGACACCUUAUUUUAAGACAUAAGAAAUCUUACUAAACAAUGAGACUAAUGUAGCUAAAUGCUGUCAGUCAUUAAAUUUUCAUGAAGUUUAAUUUUAAAAGAAAAUCAAAUUUUAAGCUGCUAUGUUUCUUGGUAAAAUUUCUUUACAUAUUGUUACUGAUGAGCUUUAUCACCAACUAAUUUAUUUUCUCAUUUGUCUGUGAGAUGAACAGGUGCCAAAAAAAAAGAUCGAAAAAGUCUUUGACUAUGUGUGGUUAUGGUUUAUGGUUUAUGUGUGGUUUGAUUGGUAUAUUUCUGCUACAUUCUUUUCAUGCUGAUAUAUUAUUGUAUAAUUUUCAUUCUGCAUUUCCAUUAGUGAGGCAUGACUCAUGCAUGUAAAGGAGUUGUUCAGCUUCUCUUCUCAGUGUUAGUGGUGAGUGGUGAUGAACUCUGCUGAUUCUCUUUCAACUCAAGAAAGAAAGGAUCCAGAAUAUAUAAGCUUGUCUUGUUUGUUGUAUUCAAACUCUGAUUUGUGACUUCCGUGUCUGUCUUUGUUAAAAUUUAGAGUGAAAGCAAUUGUCUUUACAUGUUUCACCACAUUGGCCAUAACUUCAUGGCCCCUAUCUAAAAUUGGGAUGUAGUAAUUAUCGGAUACCAAUUUACUCAUAAUUAUUGUUUAAAAUCCAAAGAACAGAUAUAUAUUGACUAUGCCUUGGAAUUUAUUUUAGUUUUGGUUUGACUUUAAU